AACCUAGAAAACGCGUUCGCGGUGUAGCGACGUCACGGGCGCGGGUCACUUGACGGUUUCGAGUAUUUCCAAGCAAUCUCGUAUAUGUACGUACGCGAACGUGGCUAUUUUUGUACAGGCGUUGGAACCGCGAAACACACUCGGCUCGUUUUCACGACUGACUUCUAUCCCCGUUUGCCCUGUCCCCGUCGAACAAUUUCACAUCUUCCUGGCUUAUCGAUGUUUACAAUGUGUCACAACACGAGCGUGUCGCCGCGAGCGCUUUUAGACUUUGGCGCCGGGCCAACGUUGCUACGUGUCCUCUGCCCGAAACUCAGAAAAACCUCUUGUCUCGUCCGCCACGGAUAAAUAACAAACAACGUGGUUAGGUCGCUGGACUUCGCAAAAAAGAAGCGGGAUCACCUUCGCGACGCGUCAAAACAAACUAGAAAUCGCGACUUCCUUUUGUUCUGACGUUCGACGAAUAUCAAGUGUCUACGGAUUUCUGAAAUCGGCGUUAUUCACUCGACGCAAUUGCGGGACUGACUCGAUAGUGGACACAUUUUUGCCUCGGAGCAACACGCGGAUCUCAUUAGUGGACAACGCGGGAGAUGCGAAAGCGGAGCAGCUUGAUUCUCUCAAGAAAAGACCAGUUACGUUUCUGAGUAGAAAUAUAAAGAUAAGACAGUGCCAUUCUACGAUCCGUGCUGCGUGUUUUCACUGUGACACUCCAUCCACUUCUCAGCACAAUGCGAUCACUUCCAACGAGAGUAGAAAACAAUUGACGGAGGAGCGUGAGCUAACAAUGCGGCACUGCGUGCACAUACGUGAUGAAGAGCAACGGCGCGAAGCACAAACUGCGACCGAUGCGUGCGUCUUGACGUCCCGAGAGGAACUGGCGCGUGUCCAAGCCCGAGGAAACAAAACGGAAGAAGAAAAAAAGGAGAAACAAAGUACAUAAAAAUGUGUAACUACCCUACUAUAAACAACGAACGUCGUCGUUCGACCACGAGGAACGACGACGACCAACGACGUUGCUUUGGGCUGACCUAACCCAAUACUAACUGACAAUCGAGUCGCGCUCACUGUAGUCAAACACCCCCCACCAUGACGCUAUGGCUGUCCCUACCACCACGAUCUUUCUAUCCCCACCCUCGUCAGGUUUCUCUACCCUCUCGAAUCGCAACCCUAGAUGCGCGAGUCGCAGAAACGUGCCUCGUCAGGGGAUCAAGCGUGUUGGACGAAGACGAACGACGGGAAGACGUUAAGGGUGCCGCGAGAGGGAUGAUACGGUGAACCUCCAAGAGCGAAGGGGAUGGAACGUGCACGCGUGCUGGGAAAGGAGAAAGAUGGAUCGAAGGGAAAACGACGAGACAGGGUGAACCUGCGACCGUGAUCUUUAAGGAGUGGGGAUGCUUUGCGACUGGAGGGAACAGGACUAUAUUUCUCUCUCUUGUCGCGAUGGACGAGAACGGCCACAGAAGCCGGGUAAUCGAGGAAACCUGUGAGAGAAAAGAUAGAGGGGUGGGAAAGAGGUUGACGAUAUCCCGCAAGUAUAAAGUGAUGCGUACCCCUUCAACGUUUCAGAUGCUGGGAUGGGGUUGGAUCAAACUUGUUUCGGAUAAAAAGAUAAUGGGUUCUCAAAUUUUUUAACACUUUCCUGCGUCGACUUGCAAAUCUGAUGCAUAAAAUCAAUUGCAUUGUUAAAAUGUACAAACCUUUUAGCAUUUUUUAUUUCGAUUCUUAUUGCUCAUGUUACUGGAGAAAGUUCUAAAGUUAUUAACCCUUAAAUAUCAUGAAAGGUUACAUUUUAUUUUGUUAAUGUUAUAUCCAUCCAUCGUUACAGAAUCAUAUAAGGUGUACCAAAAUUGUUAUUCAUUAAUGUAA